CUGUUUGAGCUAACUUAAUCCCUAUCCCGUAAAAUAAAGCUAAGACCUAAACUAAGCUAGAAUGGCAAAUUUUUUUUGGCUAAAAAAGAUAGCCUACCCUCCAUCUCCCACGCUAGCAGCAGAUAAACCAUCCUCAUUUCCAAGGCUGCCAUUCCAAAAUUCUAAGGAGGCCAUCUUAACAUCUUAAGCAGAUCCCCACAAAACUCUUGCUUCUUCUUAAAAAAUCGGCCACCCAAUCCUUAAGAGAACUUGGUCCAAUUUUGAACUUUUACCUUAUCUUCACAAAACACUACAAAUGAGAAUCGUGUAAAUAAACAUCAAAAACCUUCACCCACAGCCUUCUUGGACGAAAAGACCAAAAUUACAUCACUGCUCCUUCUUUUGUUUUAGCCGAAACACAACUCCAAACAACCCUUUCGUGCAUAUUUUCGACAGGUUUCGAGGUCGCCGGUGAGGUCUUCUUGAGUACUUUGUGUUGUGCCUUGGAUAUCACUUUCCCGUCGAUCCAGGCGAUGAAAUUAGAUUUCAAGUUUCAGAGUUUGUUUUGUCCUUUUUCUCCAAUUGCAAAGAAAUCAAUAGAGAUUCAAUAUCCAUCUUCAAUCUCUGUUGUUGAUCUUAUUUGUGCAUCGAUUUCGUUGAAGAUUAUUUGCUGUAAUUUUUUAGGGAUUUUAAUAUGUGUAUAUCAUAUAGCAAACCUUAUUACCAACCAUGUUUAAGGUUUGUGUUUAUUAUAUUUAAGCAUAUCAAAUUUCAAUUUAUGUACCAUAAUUCAAAUUAAGGGUAUAAUUGCU
rnacentral:lncRNA from 1 species